GACGAACGCUGGCGGCGUGCCUAACACAUGCAAGUCGAGCGGAGACUUUAGCAAUAAAGUCUUAGCGGCGGACGGGUGAGUAACGCGUGGGCAACCUGCCUCAUACAGGGGGAUAACACUGGGAAACUAGUGCUAAUACCGCAUAAUAUCAAAAGAUGGCAUCACCUUUUGAUCAAAGGAGCAAUCCAGUAUGAGAUGGGCCCGCGUCCGAUUAGCUAGUUGGUGGUGUAAUGGACCACCAAGGCGACGAUCGGUAGCCGAACUGAGAGGUUGAUCGGCCACAUUGGGACUGAGACACGGCCCAGACUCCUACGGGAGGCAGCAGUGGGGAAUAUUGCACAAUGGGGGAAACCCUGAUGCAGCAACGCCGCGUGAAGGAUGAAGGUUUUCGGAUCGUAAACUUCUUUAGCCAGGGACGAAGAAUGACGGUACCUGGAGAAUAAGCCACGGCUAACUACGUGCCAGCAGCCGCGGUAAUACGUAGGUGGCGAGCGUUGUCCGGAAUUACUGGGUGUAAAGGGCGUGUAGGCGGGAAUGUAAGUCAGAUGUGAAAUUCCGGGGCUCAACUCCGGGGCUGCAUCUGAAACUGCAUUUCUUGAGUGCUGGAGAGGAAAGCGGAAUUCCUAGUGUAGCGGCGGAAUGCGUAGAGAUCCGGAAGAACACCGGUGGCGAAGGCGGCCUGCUGGGCAGUUGCUGACGCUGAGGCGCGACAGCGUGGGGAGCAAACAGGAUUAGACACCCUGGCAGUCCACGCCGUAAACGAUGGGCACUAGGUGCUUGCGGGAGCGACCCCGUGAGUGCCGGCGCUAACGCAUUAAGUGCCCCGCCUGGGGAGUACGGCCGCAAGGCUGAAGCUCAAAGGAAUUGACGGGGGCCCGCACAAGCGGUGGAGCAUGUGGUUUAAUUCGACGCAACGCGAAGAACCUUACCUACUUGACAUGCAUGGGAAACUCUGAAACCAGAGGCCCUCUUCGGAGCUCAUGCAC
rnacentral:rRNA from 1 species